GACGAACGCUGGCGGCGUGCUUAACACAUGCAAGUCGAGCGGUAAGGCCCUUUCGGGGGUACACGAGCGGCGAACGGGUGAGUAACACGUGGGUGACCUGCCCUCAGCUCUGGGAUAAGCCUGGGAAACCGGGUCUAAUACUGGAUAUGACUCCAUGACGCAUGUUGUGGGGUGGAAAGCCUUGUGCGGCUGAGGAUGGGCCCCGNGGCCUAUCAGCUUGUUGGUGGGGUGAUGGCCUACCAAGGCGACGACGGGUAGCCGGCCUGAGAGGGCGACCGGCCACACUGGGACUGAGACACGGGCCCAGACUCCUACGGGAGGGCAGCAGUGGGGAAUCUUGCGCAAUGGGCGAAAGCCUGACGCAGCGACGCCGCGUGAGGGAUGACGGCCU
rnacentral:rRNA from 1 species